CAGUCCCUGUGUUGACACAGGGGUGGGAAGGAGGAUUACCAAAUGGAUUACCAUUAGUGACUACACCCCAAAACGCAUCUUUUCUGGCAACUGCUUCUCUUUCCUGGUUCUAGGAUCUUCUUCUCAUCUCUUACUAUAUGAUGAUUCUUCCUCAACCCUGCCACCGGUCACCUGCAUUCCUUCAUCCUUUGUGGUUGAACAAGGAGCUUUAAAUGCAAUGCCUACUCCCAUAAAGGUUGGGAUCCUUCAGCUAGGCAAAGUCAAAGAAAUUUCCUGGCAGGUGGUUUCAAUAGCCAGUAGAACCCUGACAGAGAUGACAGAGUGCUUGGAUGGGGAGAGCCAGUGCUAUUUUGCAGAAGCCAAAGAAAGGGAGAACAAAGGGAGACCUACACCUUCUGAAUUACAGGAUCCUGAUUCUGAGUCAAGUAUCAGGAAAAGCUGACCGUUUAAGGAAAUAAAGGCACUUUUAAAAGAUUUCACCUUGGAAGAACUUGGAGAGUAGGGAAAUGCAAGCCUGAACAGGUUCACUCAUCUGCCCUGGAAAAACGGCCCUUUCUGCUCAGAACCAGCCAUCAUAGGAGGCUCACCUUAUCCUGAACAUGUAUCUUUGGACUGGUUAAAAUUGUGUGCCUGCCAUUAACUGACCAGAGACUCAUUUCUGUCAUUUAUAAAAUAGGAGGAAUAUUAACUGGCUAGUCGCUGUAAAUUAAAUAAGUAA
rnacentral:lncRNA from 1 species